rnacentral:rRNA from 1 species
GACAGAGGAUGCAAGCGUUAUCCGGAAUGAUUGGGCGUAAAGCGUCUGUAGGUGGCUUUUUAAGUCUGCCGUCAAAUCCCAGGGCUUAACCCUGGACAGGCGGUGGAAACUACCAAGCUGGAGUACGGUAGGGGCAGAGGGAAUUUCCGGUGGAGCGGUGAAAUGCGCAGAUAUCAGGAAGAACACCCGUGGCGAAGGCGGUUCUCUGGGACGGUACUGACGCUGAGACGCGAAAGCGUGGGGAGCGAAUGGG